rnacentral:rRNA from 1 species
ACGGGUGCGGAACACGUACGCAACCUUCCUUUAAGCGGGGAAUAGCCCAGAGAAAUUUGGAUUAAUACCCCAUAAGAAUGUGAUCUGGCAUCAGGUAGCAUUUAAAGAUUUAUCACUUAAAGAUGGGCGUGCGUCUGAUUAGGUAGUUGGUGAGGUAACGGCUCACCAAGCCGACGAUCAGUAACUGGCGUGAGAGCGCGACCAGUCACACGGGCACUGAGACACGGGCCCGACUCCUACGGGAGGCAGCAGUAAGGAAUAUUGGUCAAUGGACGGAAGUCUGAACCAGCCAUGCCGCGUGGAGGAUGAAGGCCCUCUGGGUUGUAAACUUCUUUUAUCUGGGACGAAACACUUCCUUUCUAGGGAGCUUGACGGUACCAGGUGAAUAAGCACCGGCUAACUCCGUGCCAGCAGCCGCGGUAAUACGGAGGGUGCAAGCGUUAUCCGGAUUCACUGGGUUUAAAGGGUGCGUAGGCGGACAUGUAAGUCCGUGGUGAAAUCUCCGAGCUUAACUCGGAAACUGCCAUGGAUACUAUAUGUCUUGAAUGUUGUGGAGGUUAGCGGAAUAUG